UCUCGUUCGGAUUGCACUGCUACCAACUCAAAAUUCUUAAUAAUGAGUGAUCCGAACUCAUUAGGUAAUCGGUAAUCACAUUUCACUCUAUGAUAUUUUCAAACCGCGAUUUAGUUCAUCUAUAGCAUAGACAUAUAAUAGAAUAGACCGCGAAUAGAAAGAGAACUACAAAGCCAAGAUAUGUGCGAGAGAGAAAGAACCAUAAGAGGUUUUCUCAUGGAUGAGUUAAUAAAACUGUUUUUUUUUCCAGUUGAAUUAUAUUAUGAGGCGGGAUCACGAUGUAGAUAAUAUAUAUAAAAAUUACUAAUUAUUAAUUAGACACAAUGACAAUUUACAAGUUUAAAAAAAAUAUAUUUAUAAUUUAAACAUUUUAAAUUUUAAAGUAUAUAAUAUACAAAUUAUUACAAAUUACAAUUAAUAUAUUAUAAUAUGUGUUUUGUACAAAUGGUAUAAUAACAAAAAAAAAGGUGUCUCUAGAUCUUCCUCAGAAAAGUCUCCAGCAUAUCUCAAUAGUUUACGUUUCUUUUCUGAAAGAUGGACUGAAAAUUCAAGUACACAGUUAAAAUUAAUGAAUGUCUUUUUAUAAUUAAAAUGUUACCUUUUGUAAUAUCAAUAUUUUCAUUUGCUUGCAGAAUAAUCUCUUCUGUAUCAUUAUUCAUUGAAACUGUAGAAUUGUUUUCAUCUUCUAUAAUAAACAUAUAAACAAUACAUAUGGAA